rnacentral:rRNA from 1 species
UACGUAGGGGGCAAGCGUUGUUCGGAAUUACUGGGCGUAAAGCGCGUGUAGGCGGCUCUUCAAGUCAGACGUGAAAGCCCCGGGCUUAACUCGGGAACUGCGUUUGAUACUGUCGAGCUAGAGUGUGGAAGGGGCGAUUGGAAUUCCGUGUGUAGCGGUGAAAUGCGCAGAUAUCAGGAAGAACACCUAUGGCGAAGGCAGCUCUCUGGGACGGUACUGACGCUGAGACGCGAAAGCGUGGGGAGCGAACAGG